GUGGGGAAUAUUGCACAAUGGGGGAAACCCUGAUGCAGCAACGCCGCGUGAGUGAUGACGGUCUUCGGAUUGUAAAGCUCUGUCUUUGGGGACGAUAAUGACGGUACCCAAGGAGGAAGCCACGGCUAACUACGUGCCAGCAGCCGCGGUAAUACGUAGGUGGCGAGCGUUGUCCGGAUUUACUGGGCGUAAAGGGAGCGUAGGCGGAUUUUUAAGUGGGAUGUGAAAUACCCGGGCUCAACCUGGGUGCUGCAUUCCAAACUGGGAAUCUAGAGUGCAGGAGGGGAGAGUGGAAUUCCUAGUGUAGCGGUGAAAUGCGUAGAGAUUAGGAAGAACACCAGUGGCGAAGGCGACUCUCUGGACUGUAACUGACGCUGAGGCUCGAAAGCGUGGGGAGCGAACAGGAUUAGAUACCCUUGUAGUCC
rnacentral:rRNA from 1 species